CGGCUGAAGAGCAGUGGAUUGUGCCGCUGACAGCCCUCCCCUGCCCAUAUGGGGCAGGGGAAUGAAAUCACAAUAAAGGAAAAAAAUGCAAGAAAUCAAUAAUUCCAACAACAGACUUAAGCCUGUAUGGAAUAUAGUAAAAUGGGAGACAGGAUGACCAGCCACAGAACAGGAUAACAUCUCUAUUGAACUGAGUGGAAAGGCUAUACAUGAUGAGUUACAGAUGGACAUGUACUGGGAGAAUACAGCAAUAGUGAUGUUCGAUCGGCAUGGACAAGUGUUUGCCACCCACGCCAUAGAAGCUGUAUGUCCAGUAUAAGGAGCAAACAUGCUUUAUUCCUUGAUGGUGUAAUGAUUGUAUUUGUUGUGAACAAAUGAAUUAUGUAUUGAACUAAAGACACUUACAUUUGAUUUUCUGGUGUUGGACUUGCUAGAAGCAAGAACUGGUUUUAUAGCGGUUAUUAAACCAAACAUAUUGUAAUUGUAUCUGUUAGUAUCUAAUGGUCCAAUACGGGGUUGACUUGCGAGAGUUGAAUGAUUAUGUGAAUCUUGUGCAGUUGUUUUAUUGUGGAGAUGAAAAUAUAACAGAGUUGAACAAGAA